GCUCUAACUUCACUGAGUGUCAACCAAAAAAAGACCAGUUCUGAACAUGCAAAGAUAAUCACAGCUAACCUUGGAAUUUACUAUACAGGUCAGGUAUUGUGCUUCACAAGAAGUCCCUUGUUUACUGCCCAUUUUACAGGUGAGGAAAACAAGGUUUAGAGAGGAGAAGCAACUUAGCCUGCGGACACACAGGUCAGAGCCAAGGUUGCAACCCAACCAAGCUCUUCUUAAAGGCGUAUUUUUGCGUCUGUGAGAGAUACAGACAGACACAAAGAUACCUGGAAUAUCAGUAACGCAGGGCACGGUGGUGCUCAGAGGAAGACUCUGCCUCAGGACUAACGGGGACGGAGCUUGGCCGUUUCAGGAGGUGACGGCUGAACUCACUAACUGGAAUAUCAGUAACGCAGGGCACGGUGGUGCUCAGAGGAAGACUCUGCCUCAGGACUAACGGGGACGGAGCUUGGCCGUUUCAGGAGGUGACGGCUGAACUCACUCAUAAAGAAUGGCCAAAGGGGCUCCCAACAGAACGGAAGUGCACAAGGCCAGCGUUUACAGAGGGAGUGGCAAGUAGGUCAGCAUGGCUGGAGUGAGGCUGUGGGGAAGACAGAUGGUGAAGGCUGGAGAGGAGGCAAGACCACAUCCGCAGGGACACGCGGAAAGGAGCCCGCAGUGAGAAGCUUAAACCUUCUCCUGUGGGCAGCAAGGAGCCAGGGAAGAGCUCUGAGCUGGAGGGUUACAGAAUCGGAUGUGUACUUUGGUUGCAGGUGGAUCUAAUGCAAACUCAAUUCAACUAAUAUUCCCUGGAUCCCUUGAGUGACCUCAACUACCAGACACCAUAAAGUGUCAUCAUUUUACUUUAAACCUCUUCACAGAGUAUAAGAAAUACUCAGACAAGACCUCUGAAUGGCUUUGGUCCUUGAAAGGAUGCUUGAAUGCUUAUUUCCAAGUGUCAUAUAUGUGAGUUUGGAAUUUAGCCCCAUCGUCCAGCUGAUUACCCACAUCUAUGACCUUAGGCUGUGAGAUCUUUAGUUACUUUACCCUAGCUUGCUUCUCUGUAGAAUGCAAAUAAUCGGGGAACUUAGACUUGAUGAGAAGAGUAAUAAGACAACCAUUCGUAGCUUGUUAGUAUAGUGUGUUAGUUGCUCAGUUAGGUCCGACUCUCUGCGGCUCCGCUGACCGUAGUUCACCAAGCUCCUCUGUCCUUGGGAUUCUCCAGGCAAGAAUACUGGAGUGGGUUGCCAUUUCCCUCUCCAGGGGAUCUUCCUGACCCAGGAAUGGAGCCCAGAUCUCCUGCAUUGCAGUCAGAUUCUUUACUGUCUGAGCCACCAGGGAGAUGAGACAACACAUUCGUAGCUUGUCAGUAGAGUGCCUGGCAAAUAAGCGCUCAGAAAGCACACUGAUGAGGAUGCCCAGGACACCUGCCUGAGGCAGAAGGCAUGUCUUCUCUUUCAAGGGCUCCAAGUCCACCCAGUCCUUAGGACACCCUUAAGCUGCGUCCUUGUCUCUCCCUGUUCUGGUAACCUGAUUGUCUGGCUCAUCCAAGAAAAGAGAAAGAAGGGAGAGAAAACAUGUUGAUUUUCCCUGGUGUCCGUUCCAUUCGAAAGUAAAGUAGAAUUGAGGGGAGGGGACUCAGGUCUCCCUUUAAUCUUCCUUGGUUGUAUCUGCUUAUUAGCCAUGUUGCCAUAGUAGCAGAUGCUGUGGACGCCCCAUUGGUCCUCAGCCCAGCUCUGAGUUCACCCACAGCCCUGAUAACGUUCACGUCCAUGGUCCCUCCAUUAUUUGCUUUUCUUCUUGAUGGCUUCCUCCAUGGGCUGUGGGAACUUGUUCAGUGCACAUGCAGGAUUCCUGGAAAUGCCUGAAAGUUCACGUUUCCAGGGGCACCCUCAACCAAGGAGAGAUGGAAGAUGACACAUAAAUAGGUCAGCUUCUCCAUAUUUGGGGGGUCUUCUACAUGUUUCCACAGAGGUCCCCAGCAAGAGCCCACAGUAGUAACACACUCAUAAGUACACCCUCCCUCGUUCGUGCUCCCUGGGACCCAUUCCCAAAUAAACGACUUGCACGCAACCUCUCGUCUCGGGGUCUGUAUC
ensembl:lncRNA